UACGGAGGGUGCAAGCGUUAUCCGGAUUCACUGGGUUUAAAGGGUGCGUAGGUGGGCAGGUAAGUCAGUGGUGAAAUCUCCGGGCUUAACUCGGAAACUGCCAUUGAUACUAUCUGUCUUGAAUACCGUGGAGGUUAGCGGAAUAUGUCAUGUAGCGGUGAAAUGCUUAGAUAUGACAUAGAACACCAAUUGCGAAGGCAGCUGGCUACACGAAUAUUGACACUGAUGCACGAAAAGCGUGGGGGAUCAAACAGG
rnacentral:rRNA from 1 species